AUGGUAAACAUGGUGGAGCAGCAGGACGCCGGCGAGGACAUCGUCAUCGCAGGCGCCGGCGUGGCAGGCCUCGCCGUCGCCCUGGGCCUCCACAGGAAAGGCGUUGGGUGCGUGGUGCUGGAGUCGUCGCCGGUGCUCCGGACUUCCGGGUUCGCGAUCGCCGCAUGGACGAACGCCUUCCGCGCGCUUGAUGCCCUUGGGGUAGGCGACACCAUUAGGAGUAAACACCUGCAGAUCCAACUGGCGUGUGUCAUGUCUCCGACAACAGGGGACGUGGCGCGAGAGAUUGAUCUCCGGGUGCAAGGAAAAUGCGGACCCAAUGAAGCCCGGUGCGUGCAGCGUAACGUGCUGCUCCAUGCACUGGAGGAAGAGCUUCCGCCAGGCACCAUCCGCUACUCCUCCAAGAUCGUCUCCAUCGACGACCAAGACGGCGACGGCGACGGCGAUGCCAAGAUCCUCCAUCUCGCCGACGGCUCCAUUCUCCGUGCAAAGGUACUGAUUGGCUGUGAUGGGAUCAACUCGGUGGUGGCGAAAUGGCUGGGGCUCGCCAAGCCGUCCGACUCGGGGCGCAGGGCCACGCGGGGCCACGCCAAGUACCCCGAUCGGCCAUGGCUUCGAGCCCAAGAUGCUGCAGUUCAGCGGCCAGGGCUUCCGCGCGGGCUUGGUCCCGUGCAACCACACCGACGUCUACUGGUUCUUCACAUGGUCUCCUUCUCCUACUCCGGGCGGUAA
rnacentral:rRNA from 1 species